AAGAGCUCAAACAUAUUUCGCUUUGGUCAUCUACAUACAGCAAUCAUAAAAAUUAAAAGGAAAUUAUUCUCUUUGUUUGCUUGUAGUACAAGGAAAUUAAAGGUCUUCUGGACAAUGUUUCCCUCUUGUCCGGAACUCUUGCCUUCAUUAUGUUAUUGUAGAUCCUGGUACCGGAUUUCCGGUGGUUCGCUUUCGUCUUGUGAACGGUUUGUUUUGUGAGAGUUGCAACUUGGUCGUACCAAUACUUGAAAGGAUUUUGUGGAAGUGCAAAUUGAAAGGAAAAAAAAAUCAACAAUCUGAAUUUGCGAAGAGCUCAAUGAUAUUUCGCUUUGAUCAUCUACAUUUAGCAAUUGUAAAAAUUAAAGGAAACUAUACCAUAUCGCUUCGCUCAUCUCCUACAGGUGCUGAAAGACCACUUGGUUCAUGAGUUGGCGUCCCUUACCUUGCCAUAGACAAACAUCAAAACCCACAACCAAGUUCACUAUAAAAUGCACAAAAUAAAAAAUAACAACCAAACCCACAAAUUUAAUCGAACACUUCUACAAACUCUAGAAAAAAAUUACUAAAUCUCAGAUAAAAUAACCUCAAAAGCACCCAGAAAUUUAAUGAAGAAUUCUCUAAAACCAGAAGUUUAAACCAGAAAUUCCAGAGUCAUAAAAAUUUUACUAAAUAAAUUUGACCAAUUUAAUGUUGUCUAUAUUAAGGGAAAACCAAUAGUCAUUAACUAGAAAAUAUGCACGCGCGUUGCUGCGGUACUUGAAUGCAUCACCAUGAACUGCAUGAAUAAGAUACAUUUUACCUGAAUAAAUUCAACACAAUCAUGAAUGAACUGAGGGAUAGAUGAGUGAAUGGGGCAGGUAAGAUAUGCAGCUUCGUUUUUAUAUACAUUCAACUUAGCUGACAUGAAAAGACAUUGUACAAUUAACAGGACAAAACUGAACGUUUUGUUUCCCUGAUAAACAGAAGCAACAUGCAGUUCACACAAAUCUUGCCCCUGCAGUCAAGGUGGCAAAAUAUAUAACCUGUAGGUUAGGCACAUGUGUUAGCAGUUGACAAAAAAAUAUAAAAACUGUUUCGUUCUUAUUCUAGCAUCUAAGUUUUCAAGCACAAACAUGCAAAGCAAAAAACAUGCAGGAUGCCUGUUUCCAUAAGAAACAGAAGUCUAAGAAGUGUAUUUUAGUUUAGAGAACAUGCAUGUAUUUUCUAAUAGCGAAAACAUGAGCAAAUAUGAUUGGACAAAAACAUAUAAUGGGCAGAAACAUGAGAGAAAAAUCCAAACCUCAAGAAUAUGAUUGUAUUACAGCAAAUACGAUUGGGUUGUACUCGAGGAUCAAAUGGGGACUUGAGAUUUUGGUAACUGUGUAGAAGAAAAUGAACACCAAUGGAACAUUCCUAGAAACUAACCCUCAAACCCAUCCAAAUCAGAUCAACUAAUCAACCAAAUUAGCCCAAUCAGUAACCCUAAAUUUGCUCAACCAAAUUUGCCAAAUCAAUAAUCCUUAAGGAUAAGAUUAUUUUUAACUAUACACAAAUUCACAUGCUAGUCAUUUGAUACAUUUAACUAAUUUUGCAAGUUGUAUUUCUUUAAAUGGGAAUGAAAAUGUAACUUUUGGUCUUAUACUUUCAGAACCAAUACACAUCUCAAAUGUGGGAGUCUCAAAAGUUGUUUCAUUUAUUUCAUUCCAAAUAAAUUUUUUGUUUGGACAGAUAUUCGAACAAAAUACUCUCUGAUUGACACUCACUUAAACACCUUAGAAAGAACUCACGUUUCUCUACCUGAAAAGGAGUUCAAGGAUAUGAAAAAACUACUUAAUAUCAAAAGCAUAAACCACACUCGGUACAAUCAAUAACUAAACUAACAAUAUAUUCAACAAUGUAUCAAAAACACCAUCAAAUUAAACACAUUUAAACCAUAAAAACCAAAGGAACAAACCAUAUAAUUAAUGAGUGGUGAGUGCAGACUUUCUGGAAUUCAGGGCACCAAUUAUCCUAACAGAGAACCUGUUUUGGUCAUCCACCUUUGCCAUUUCCCCCUCAUCCCCUGAAUCCUUAUUGCCUGCACGUUCCAACGCCGUCUCAUGAAGCACCUUAGCAAACACCGGGGAGGAAAAACUAAUUAAUUUUUUUUAAACAAAUAUUAGUGCACUACAGAAAUACAUCAUCUAUAAUAAGCAAACACACGAAUGCCUGAAAACACUAAAAGUCUAAUAUAUCCUUGCAUUUCUAUUUGAAUUCAGAGUACAUGGAAAUCACAUCAACAAAUCAAAGCCCUAAAUUUUUAUCAUCCUGAACUGGAAAAAUCUGUAAAAUCUAAACAUUUUCGCCGCAUUAAAAUAUUUACAAUUUAAACCCCCCAUUCUCUUAUAGCUGAUAAUCAAAACCAAAUUAGUAAAUUACCCAGCUAAAAGCCUUUUUUCAACGAAAGCGAGGAAGGCAUGAAAGCAAACCAAAACCCUUACUGUCUGAGAGAAAUUGGGAUAGAACAUCGUAGAGAGAAAGCAAGAAGAGAGAUAUACCUGACUCUGGUUUAAGCGUCGAACGAACUCUUUCUCUCUCUCUGCAAACAAUUUUAACUGAAAAAAAAAUCCAAAUUAUGAGCACCGAUUAUCAAUCAAAUACCAAAAUGAAGUGUAAAUCACAAACUCAAUUCUCAAUAAUCAAUUCCUUGAUUCGGAUACAAAAUUUUCAUCAUUCUCUUAUCUGUUUUCCUUUGUUUUGUGAGUUUUAACCUCAAAUGGGAUUACACAAAAAACAUAACCUUCUCAGAAAACUGCAGCCAUUUUUACAAAUUUCCGUGAGCCAACACAGGAAAAUGAAAAUGACAAAGCCACAUAGUAGGAGGCAGACAAAAGAAAUCAAAGAACCGAACACUCUCUUCAUUAGCAAAAGCGUUUGAGAAAUCAAACGAAAAUAAGCCAAAUACCCCUCUUCCUCAAAUCCCGAUGGCCCCCAUGCUUUUCUCUGACUGUACCCCCUCUCCCACUCAUGAAAUCGAGGAUCUGCAGCAAUGGCGCUGAGAUCCCCACUCCUCUCUCUCUCUCUUUCUCUCUCUCUCUCUCUCUCUCUCUCAGAUGCGGCAUGGCCUCCCAUCCCCGAAACCCUCACUGAACGAAGAACGAAGAGGUGGGGGCAAUUUUGUACAAAUCAGAUCAGGAAACACUAUGCACAGUAUAUGCACCAAAUACCUAGUAAUGAGAUAUUUAGCAUGUGAUAUCUUUCGAACCACACAAUAUAUGCACCACAUCCCCAUCCUAUUCAAUUCGAU
rnacentral:lncRNA from 1 species